rnacentral:rRNA from 1 species
AGCGAACGCUGGCGGCAGGCCUAACACAUGCCAGUCGAACGAACCUUUCGGGGUUAGUGGCGGACGGGUGAGUAACACGUGGGAACGUGCCUUUAGGUUCGGAAUAACUCAGGGAAACUUGUGCUAAUACCGAAUGUGCCCUUCGGGGGAAAGAUUAAUCGCCUUUAGAGCGGCCCGCGUCUGAUUAGCUAGUUGGUUGAGGUAAUGGCUCACCAAGGCGACGAUCAGUAGCUGGUCUGAGAGGAUGAUCAGCCACAUUGGGACUGAGACACGGCCCAAACUCAAGCAGGAGGAAGGAAAGGGGAAUCUAGCGAAAUGGGGGAAGGACUGAAGAAGCCAUGACGGGAAAAAGAUGAAGGUGGUAGAAAAGUAAAAUUCUUUGAACGGGGACGAGAAUGACGGUACCCAAAGAAGAAGCAACGGCUAACUUCGUG